UACGAAGGGGGCUAGCGUUGCUCGGAAUUACUGGGCGUAAAGGGCGCGUAGGCGGACAUUUAAGUCAGGGGUGAAAUCCCGAGGCUCAACCUCGGAACUGCCUUUGAUACUGGGUGUCUUGAGUAUGAGAGAGGUAUGUGGAACUCCGAGUGUAGAGGUGAAAUUCGUAGAUAUUCGGAAGAACACCAGUGGCGAAGGCGACAUACUGGCUCAUUACUGACGCUGAGGCGCGAAAGUGUGGGGAGCAAACAGGAUUAGAUACCCUGGUAGUCCACGCCGUAAACGAUGAUUGCUAGUUGUCGGGCUGCAUGCAGUUCGGUGACGCAGCUAACGCAUUAAGCAAUCCGCCUGGGGAGUACGGUCGCAAGAUUAAA
rnacentral:rRNA from 1 species